rnacentral:rRNA from 1 species
CACGUAGGGGGCGAGCGUUGUCCGGAAUUACUGGGGUGUAAAGGGUGCGUAGGCGGCCUUGCAAGUCAGAUGUGAAAGAUCACGGCUUAACUGUGGUAAGCAUUUGAAACUGUAAGGCUUGAGUGCAGGAGAGGAGAGUGGAAUUCCUAGUGUAGCGGUGAAAUGCGUAGAUAUUAGGAAGAAUAUCAGUGGCGAAGGCGGCUCUCUGGACUGCAACUGACGCUGAGGCACGAAAGCGUGGGGAGCAAACAGGAUUAGA